rnacentral:misc_RNA from 1 species
GAUUCCUUGGCGCCUUCUCAGUCUCCCACCUCCCCUCGUCUUCACUCGUUCAAACACAAACACUAACCCUCGUCUCCCUUCAAGCAUAAUGUCUUACACGCCGCACUACCCCGUCGUUGAAUCCAACCCCAAGGUUUGGAUGGACAUCGAGAUCGGUGGCAAGCCCGCCGGCCGCGUGACGAUGGAGCUCUUCAAGGACGCCGUCCCCCAGACGGCCGAGAACUUCCGCGCGUUGUGCACGGGCGAGAAGGGCUUCGGCUACGCCAACUGCCCGUUUCAUCGUGUGAUCCCGGAUUUCAUGUGCCAGGGUGGCGACUUCACCAACGGCAACGGCACUGGCGGCAAGUCCAUCUACGGCUCCAAGUUUGCCGAUGAGUCCUUUGCCGGCAAGGCCGGCAAGCACUUCGGCCCAGGCACGUUGUCGAUGGCCAAUGCCGGCCCCAACACGAACGGCUCUCAGUUCUUCCUGUGCACAGCGCCCACGAGCUGGCUGGACGGCAAGCAUGUCGUGUUCGGCCAGGUGCUGGAGGGCUAUGACGUCGUCAAGGCUAUGGAGGCCGUCGGCAGCCGCAGCGGCACCACCUCGAAGCCCGUGCGCGUGGCUGCCUGCGGACAGCUUUAACGGAGGACUGUGACGUAGGCCGAGGAGAGGCGAAACCGAGGGGGGAGAAGGGGCGGGGGUGAAGGACGGCAUGUUCUUGUUCAUGAAGGCGAAGAAGACUAGGGAGUGGGGAAGCAGACGAUGAGCUCUCAUCUGUCCGGGUGUACGAGGAGAGUGGUCGGAGGGGAUCAGUGCGUGCCGCUGGGUGUGUCCGUGCAUCCCGAACGUUCUGGUAACACACACACACACACGCCGAUCCCCACUAAUCUCCCGCCUGCCCAACCUUUCCUCCUCCGUUUCCACACCCACCCCUGGCACCACGGCCAGAUCACCCUUCUCCUUGCCUCCCUCUUCCCUUGAUCAAGAUCGUAUGUGUCACAAUUUUGUCUGUCUCGGUUUCUGUAUGUGCGCGCGGAGGAGGGGGUCGAUUUCGUCGUGCCUCCCCUCCCCCUUCCACCUUCCCUUUCACGCUCUGCCCUCUUCCCUCUAUAGUCUCUACAGCCUCUUUUCCUUGUAUUUGAGUAUCUCUUGAUGAUUUCUUCUCUGUCCCUUUCGCUGGUGAUGUCCUGUCUUGCUUGAUUUCUCUUCCCUCUCCCCCACCUCUCCCCCCCCACUGACCACGCGUGUCUGUGUCUAUGUCUCUGCGGGCCCGUCUGUCUCGCGCUCGGUCAACAGCGAGCAGCACUCCUCACGUGCCGCAGGCGAGAAGGGCGGGAGGCGAGGGCAGGAAAGGGAGCCAUUCUUUUAUCUUUAUCUUUGGUGGUGGUAGUCGUCGUCCUCGUCGCCGUAUGUUGUGUGAAGAGGGAGAGAGAAAAGGGGGAACCCCCGGCGUGGCGGUUGCGUGCCCGCACGCCUCUCCGUGUCUGUCUGCAUGAGUGGGCUCGGCCACCUUCUCUUACCACGCAUGCGCUUUCAGCACAUAAACGGCCACGCACACUCACGCACCGAUCUACUGGGGACGCCUACGCCUCUCUCCGCCAGCAUCACUCUGUGUCUCUGCACACGCUUUGGUGUGGAGGAGGCGGCCCGGGUGCGAAACGGGUGUGCCUGGGCGCGUGAAGAAAGAAAAGCAAGGAGGGGGAGGGGGAAAGGAUGGGACGCGUCUUGAAUGGCUCUCCACUGCUGCUACUCUGUGGCUAGUGCCCUCUCCCCCAUUGCCCCCUCUCACUGUUCAGCCUUCAGAAUUCCCUAGCACACACACCAACACCAACACCACCACACAGCCUCUUUAAGAUGACGAAAAGAACGAAAAAUUUAUGUUUCACAAAAGAAAAUGAGAACAAGAGAAAGGCACAUGUCACCACCACACUCCCGUUUUUUUUUUUUCGGAUUCACGCCGCACAUAUACGGACAUGUUUGCGCAUGAGCUGCUGUCUGUGUCUGCCUGUGUGUGUGUGUGUGUGUGUGUGUGUGUGUGUGUGCAGGUAUGUUCCGGUGAUCGCGGCAGAUGCGCCGCAUCUCUCGCUCUCCUCCUCCGUAUAGAG